rnacentral:rRNA from 1 species
UACGUAGGCAGCAAGCGUUGUUCGGAAUUACUGGGCGUAAAGAGUGUGUAGGCGGUGCUCCAAGUCUGGUGUGAAAUCUCCCGGCUUAACUGGGAGGGUGCAUUAGAAACUGGAAUGCUAGAGGAUGGGAGAGGUAAGCGGAAUUCCUGGUGUAGCGGUGAAAUGCGUUGAUAUCAGGAGGAACACCCAUGGCGAAGGCAGCAAACUGGGCAUCAUCUGACGCUGAGGCGCGAAAGCGUGGGUAGCAAACAGG